UUUUGAUUUAUAAAAAUUGGUAAUACCUAAGUAUUAUGAAAAUAUUAUUUUGAAUUGGUGUUUUAUUAUUUAAAACUUAAAAGGUUUGGCGGUUUUACAUAUCCAAUUAGGGGAGUUUGUUAAUUGAUUUGAUGAUCCUCGUUUUAAACUUACUUUUUUUUGUUAUAUUUAUGUAUACAGUUUGUAUAUUGCUGUCGUUAGUUUAUGUUUUGAGAAUUGUUAAAAGACUAGAAAAUGUAUUGAUUUGUAUGUUAAGUCAUAAUGCAGCUAAUAAAAAAGGUUUAAUGAGCUACUUUAAUUAAUUUUAUUAAAUGUCCGGAUUUUAGAAAUUAUAUUUUAUUAGAAAGGUGGACUUAAUAGUAAAUGAUAAUUAGUGUGUAUUAUUGAAUUUGGUUUUGUAGAGUG
rnacentral:rRNA from 1 species